GACCUGGUGGUGAAAUGCUUCACACCUGCCUCUCCUUCGUGCGACGUAAAAAAGUGGCAGUGGGAGUCCCUGGUUCAACUCCGGGCCAGGUUC